UACAGAGGGGCAAGCGUUGUCCGGAAUUACUGGGCGUACAGCGCGCGCAGGCGGUCAUGGACGUGCCGUGUGACAGACGUCGGCUCAACCGACGUAGGCCAGGGUACACGACAUGGACUGGAGACAGAGAGAGGGAUGUGGAAUACCCGGUGGAGCGGUGAAAUGCGUAGAGAUCGGGUGGAACACCAGGGGCGAAGGCGGCAUCCUGGCGUCUGUUCG
rnacentral:rRNA from 1 species